UACGAAGGGGGCUAGCGUUGCUCGGAAUUACUGGGCGUAAAGGGCGCGUAGGCGGCCCCUCCAAGUCGGGCGUGAAAGCCCACGGCUCAACCGUGGAAUUGCGCUCGAGACUGAAGGGCUCGAGGACGGGAGAGGAUGGUGGAAUUCCAGGUGUAGCGGUGAAAUGCGUAGAUAUCGUAAGGAAGACCAGUGGCGAAGGCGGGUCUCUGGACAGUUCCGUGACGCUGAGGCACGAAGGUCAGGGGAGCAAACGGG
rnacentral:rRNA from 1 species